GGUCAAGCUGUAAAGGGCGCAAGGGGAAUGCCUUGGCACUGAGAGCCGACGAAGGACGCGACAAGCUGCGAUAAGCUACGGGGAGC
rnacentral:rRNA from 1 species